GCCUGGCUGGCUCAGUCCGUAGAGCAUGCAACUCUUAAUCUCAGGGUCGUGAGUUCAAACCUCACAUUGGGUG
rnacentral:tRNA from 1 species